CCUGCUGUAACUAGACUUUACAACUAUGUGUUCUGUUUCAGCUCAGCCGCCUCCCCACCCUGAUAAUAAAGUGUUAUAUUGGUAUCUUCCACUAGAUGGCAGUAAACACCUGUUGUAUCUCCAUGUAAUCUGGUUCAUUAUGAUCUAGGAUCAGCUCCCCCUCUCCAUGUAAUCUGAUUCAUUAUGAUCUAGGAUCAGGUCCCUCUCCAUGUAAUCUGAUUCAUUAUGAUCUAGGAUCAGGUCCCCCCUCUCCAUGUAAUCUGAUUCAUUAUGAUCUAGGAUCAGGUCCCCCUCUCCAUGUAAUCUGAUU
ensembl:lncRNA